GGACUACACGGGUAUCUAAUCCUGUUUGAUCCCCUUGCUUUCGCGCCUCAGCGUCAGGUCUAAAUUAGAAAACCGCCUUCGCCACCGGUGUUCUUCCACAUAUCUACGCAUUUCACCGCUACUUGUGGAAUUCCGUUUUCUCCAUCUAGCCUCUAGAAUGAUAGUUUCAUUUGCUGUUCCGAGGUUGAGCCUCGGGAUUUCACAACUGACUUAUCUUUCUGCCUACGCGCCCUUUACGCCCAAUAAAUCCGAUUAAUGCUUGCACCCUCCGUAUUACCGCGGCUGCUGGCAC
rnacentral:rRNA from 1 species